rnacentral:ncRNA from 1 species
UAAUAAAGAUUGCUCCGAGCCUUUCAUCCUAAAGCAUUGCCAUGGAUAAAGGCCGAUAGGGUAUAAACGGAAACGUUUUUGCCUCCAUGUUGGGAAGGAGUUAAUACAAUUAAAAU